rnacentral:rRNA from 1 species
CUACGGGCGGCAGCAGGCGCGAAAACUUUACAAUGCACGAAAGUGUGAUAAGGGAAUCCCAAGUGCUUUACUUUCAGUAAGGCUUUUGCUAUAUCUAAAACGUAUGGCGAAUAAGUGGUGGGUAAGACUUGUGCCAGCCGCCGCGGUAACACCAGCGCCACAAGUGGCAACCGCUUUUAUUGGGCCUAAAGCGUCCGUAGCCGGUCAGGUAAAUUUUCUGUGAAAUCGUUGGGCUUAACUUAACGGCAUGCAGAAAAGACUACCUGACUAGGGACCGGGAGGCGUCAGAGGUAUUCCAGAGGGAGCGGUAAAAUGCUAUAAUCUCUGGAGGACCACCUGUGGCGAAGGCGUCUGACGAGAACGGAUCCGACGGUGAGGGACGAAAGCCAGGGGAGCGAACCGGAUUAGAUACCCCGGUAGUC